GGAAGCAUAGCUCAGCUGGGAGAGCACCUGCCUUACAAGCAGGGGGUCACAGGUUCGAGCCCUGUUGUUUCCA
rfam:Clostridiales bacterium 41_12_two_minus Ley3_66761_scaffold_205, whole genome shotgun sequence.